CAGUAGCCACGGGAAUACGUAGGUGGCAAGCGUUGUCCGGAAUUAUUGGGCGUAAAGCGCGCGCAGGCGGAUAGGUCAGUCUGUCUUAAAAGUUCGGGGCUUAACCCCGUGAUGAGAUGGAAACCGCCAAUCUAGAGUAUCGGAGAGGAAAGUGGAAUUCCUAGUGUAGCGGUGAAAUGCGUAGAUAUUAGGAAGAACACCAGUGGCGAAGGCGACUUUCUGGACGAAAACUGACGCUGAGGCGCGAAAGCCAGGGGAGCGAACGGGAUUAGAUACCCCCGGUAGUCCCUGUCUCUUAUAA
rnacentral:rRNA from 1 species